AUGAAGGCGUCCUGGAGGUCCUUGCCCAUGGGGGCCGCGCCGGACAUGACCAUGCGGAUGGACGCGAGGUCGGCGGCCGUCACCCGGUCGCUCUUGGCGAUCUCGACGACGAUGGGCGGCACGAAGGGCGCCACGGUGACCGCGUGCGCGCGCACCAGGCGCACCAGCGCGCCGUGGUCGAACUUGCGCAUGAUCACGAUCGCGCACCCGGCGCGCAGCCCCGCCAGCAGCACCGAGUUGAGCGAGUAG
rnacentral:rRNA from 1 species